rnacentral:snoRNA from 1 species
AUGAUCAUACUUCAUAGGAUCAAUUCUAUAGUAUGAUUGCCGAGGUCCUUGUCCGAAACUUGGAAAGAAUCACACUGUGAUGAUGUAGCUAAGUGCAAGCCUCUGAGCGCGAAGCAGUUCUAGGUCCCUGAUCAAGGACUUUGAUGACCGUUCAUUCUCGGUUUACCGGGUGUGAGGAGGCUUGCACAGGCUGAGCAGU